GACGAACGCUGGCGGCGUGCUUAACACAUGCAAGUCGAACGGAAAGGCCCUGCUUUUGUGGGGUGCUCGAGUGGCGAACGGGUGAGUAACACGUGAGUAACCUGCCCUUGACUUUGGGAUAACUUCAGGAAACUGGGGCUAAUACCGGAUAGGAGCUCCUGCUGCAUGGUGGGGGUUGGAAAGUUUCGGCGGUUGGGGAUGGACUCGCGGCUUAUCAGCUUGUUGGUGGGGUAGUGGCUUACCAAGGCUUUGACGGGUAGCCGGCCUGAGAGGGUGACCGGCCAAAUUGGGGAUGAGAUACGGCCCAGCCUCCUAGGGGGGGCAGGAGGGGGGAAUAUUGCACAAGGGGGGGAAGCCUGAUGCAGCAACGCCGGGGGCGGGAUGACGGCCUUCGGGUUGUAAACCGCUUUGGCCUGUGACGAAGCGGGAGUGACGGUAAUGGGUAAAGAAGCACCGGCUAACUACGU
rnacentral:rRNA from 1 species